rnacentral:rRNA from 1 species
AGAAUUAAAUAGAUUCCAACAACAAAUGAUUAACUCCUAGCCCCAAUACUGGACUAAUCUAUUAUAGAAUAGAAGCAAUAAUGUUAAUAUGAGUAACAAGAAAAAUUUUCUCCUUGCAUAAGUCUAAGUCAGUGCCUGAUAAUACUCUGACCACUAACAGUCAAUAAAAAUAAUCCAACAAUAAACAAUUUAUUGAUUAUACUGUUAACCCAACACAGGAGUGCAUCUAAGGAAAGAUUAAAAGAAGUAAAAGGAACUCGGCAAACACAAACCCCGCCUGUUUACCAAAAACAUCACCUCCAGCAUUCCCAGUAUUGGAGGCAUUGCCUGCCCAGUGACAACUGUUUAACGGCCGCGGUAUCCUGACCGUGCAAAGGUAGCAUAAUCAUUUGUUCUCUAAAUAAGGACUUGUAUGAAUGGCCGCACGAGGGUUUUACUGUCUCUUACUUCCAAUCAGUGAAAUUGACCUUCCCGUGAAGAGGCGGGAAUGCACAAAUAGACGAGAAGACCCUAUGGAGCUUUAACUAACCAACCCAAGAGAAUAGAUUUAACCAUUAAGGAUAACAACAAUCUCCAUGAGUUGGUAGUUUCGGUUGGGGU